rnacentral:rRNA from 1 species
AUUAGAUACCCGUGUAGUCCUAGCCGUAAACGAUACUCGCUAGGUGUCGGCCACGGUGCGACCGUUGUCGGUGCCGUAGGGAAGCCGUGAAGCGAGCCACCUGGGAAGUACGGCCGCAAGGCUGAAACUUAAAGGAAUUGGCGGGGGAGCACAACAACGGGUGGAGCUUGCGGUUUAAUUGGAUUCAACGCCGGAAAUCUUACCGGGACCGACAGCAACAUGAAGGCCAGGCUGAAGACUUUGCCGGAUUAGCUG